ensembl:lncRNA
CUCAGGGAUAGAACCCAGGUCUCCUGCAUUGCAGGUGGAUUCUUUACCAGCUGAGCCACAUGGGAAGCAUAUACACGACAGAAACACAGAAAAACGGAGUAACUCACCCAAAUGGCCAAAGCUCUCACCUUAAAUACCAUCCUCAGCUAAAGACAAAAGACAGGCUAAAGACUGUUCUGUGGUAGCAGUCUUAAUCAUCAAACUUAUGGUUGCAAUCAGCCUGGGGUCUAUGUGCUGUGGUCACAAUGAGUCACUAUCCUUCACCUGGGUGACGGUCUUAGUUUCUACAGAGCAACUCAAAGAGUGCAGUCAUCAGCUGGAAGAAAUGAGAGCAGCUCUGAAUGCGGUGAUUCACUCAGCAUCUAAGUGGAAUAACUGAGAUGAAAAUUCUGAAUAUUACCUCUGGGUCCAGAGCACUCCCUCUUCCCUUAUCUGCUCACCUCCAUCACCUCUAAGAUGUGUUCACGUCCAUGAUUAAAUAAUCACUUCCAUAAUAAACUAUCUUCCUUCUUUUGAACUACUCUUAGGAUUUCUGCUCUACAAAGUAUUGAAACUUAAUUUUCUUUCUUCUCAGAAAUAUAUCUUUUUCAUUCAACUGCAAUGAAGUCAAAGUGUCUGGGGAAUGAAAUUCCUACAAUUAAAU